UGCAAGCCGAGCGGUAUUUGUCUUUCGGGACAGAGAGAGCGGCGUACGGGUGCGGAACACGUGUGCAACCUGCCUUUAUCUGGGGGAUAGCCUUUCGAAAGGAAGAUUAAUACCCCAUAAUAUAAUUGAUGGCAUCAUUGAUUAUUGAAAACUCCGGUGGAUAGAGAUGGGCACGCGCAAGAUUAGAUAGUUGGUGAGGUAACGGCUCACCAAGUCGAUGAUCUUUAGGGGGCCUGAGAGGGUGAUCCCCCACACUGGGACUGAGACACGGCCCAAACUCCUACGGGAGGCAGCAGUGAGGAAUAUUGGACAAUGGGUUAGCGCCUGAUCCAGCCAUCCCGCGUGAAGGACGACGGCCCUAUGGGUUGUAAACUUCUUUUGUACAGGGAUAAACCUACUCUCGUGAGAGUGGCUGAAGGUACUGUACGAAUAAGCACCGGCUAACUCCGUGCCAGCAGCCGCGGUAAUACGGAGGGUGCAAGCGUUAUCCGGAUUUAUUGGGUUUAAAGGGUCCGUAGGCGGCCUGUUAAGUCAGGGGUGAAAGACGGUAGCUCAACUAUCGCAGUGCCCUUGAUACUGAUGGGCUUGAAUGGACUAGAGGUAGGCGGAAUGAGACAAGUAGCGGUGAAAUGCAUAGAUAUGUCUCAGAACACCGAUUGCGAAGGCAGCUUACUAUGGUCUUAUUGACGCUGAGGCACGAAAGCCGUGGGGAUCAAACAGGAUUAGAUACCCUGGUAGUCCACGCCCUAAACGAUGAACACUCGCUGUUGGCGAUACACAGUCAGCGGCUAAGCGAAAGCGUUAAG
rnacentral:rRNA from 1 species